rnacentral:misc_RNA from 1 species
CAACCCUCAAGCUCUGCUUGGUGUUGGGCGGUACCCGGUGUGGUACGCCUCAAACCUAGUGGCGGUGCCAUCCGGCUCCAAGCGUAGUAACAGCUCUCGCUUUGGGGACCCGGCGUGUGCGCCUGCCAGCAACUCCAACUUCCAAA